UACGAAGGGGGCUAGCGUUGCUCGGAAUCACUGGGCGUAAAGGGCGCGUAGGCGGCCAUUCAAGUCAGAGGUGAAAGCCCAAGGCUCAACCUUGGAAUUGCCUUUGAUACUGUUUGGCUUGAGACCGGAAGAGGUUAGUGGAACUGCGAGUGUAGAGGUGAAAUUCGUAGAUAUUCGCAAGAACACCAGUGGCGAAGGCGGCUAACUGGUCCGGUUCUGACGCUGAGGCGCGAAAGCGUGGGGAGCAAACAGG
rnacentral:rRNA from 1 species